rnacentral:rRNA from 1 species
GGGUUGUGAGGUUAAGCGACUAAGCGUACACGGUGGAUGCCCUGGCAGUCAGAGGCGAUGAAGGACGUGCUAAUCUGCGAAAAGCGUCGGUAAGGUGAUAUGAACCGUUAUAACCGGCGAUGUCCGAAUGGGGAAACCCAGUGCAAUUCGUUGCACUAUCGUUAACUGAAUACAUAGGUUAACGAGGCGAACCGGGGGAACUGAAACAUCUAAGUACCCCGAGGAAAAGAAAUCAACCGAGAUUCCCCCAGUAGCGGCGAGCGAACGGGGAGCAGCCCAGAGUCUGAAUCAGCUUGUGUGUUAGUGGAACGGUCUGGAAAGUCCGACGGUACAGGGUGAUAGUCCCGUACACCAAAAUGCACAGGUUGUGAACUCGAAGAGUAGGGCGGGACACGUGGUAUCCUGUCUGAAUAUGGGGGGACCAUCCUCCAAGGCUAAAUACUCCUGACUGACCGAUAGUGAACCAGUACCGUGAGGGAAAGGCGAAAAGAACCCCGGCGAGGGGAGUGAAAAAGAACCUGAAACCGUGUACGUACAAGCAGUGGGAGCACCUUCGGGUGUGACUGCGUACCUUUUGUAUAAUGGGUCAGCGACUUAUAUUCUGUAGCAAGGUUAACCGUAUAGGGGAGCCGCAGGGAAACCGAGUCUUAACUGGGCGUUAAGUUGCAGGGUAUAGACCCGAAACCCGGUGAUCUAGCCAUGGGCAGGUUGAAGGUUGGGUAACACUAACUGGAGGACCGAACCGACUAAUGUUGAAAAAUUAGCGGAUGACUUGUGGCUGGGGGUGAAAGGCCAAUCAAACCGGGAGAUAGCUGGUUCUCCCCGAAAGCUAUUUAGGUAGCGCCUCGUGAAUUCAUCUUCGGGGGUAGAGCACUGUUUCGGCUAGGGGGUCAUCCCGACUUACCAACCCGAUGCAAACUACGAAUACCGAAGAAUGUUAUCACGGGAGACACACGGCGGGUGCUAACGUCCGUCGUGAAGAGGGAAACAACCCAGACCGCCAGCUAAGGUCCCAAAGUCAUGGUUAAGUGGGAAACGAUGUGGGAAGGCACAGACAGCCAGGAUGUUGGCUUAGAAGCAGCCAUCAUUUAAAGAAAGCGUAAUAGCUCACUGGUCGAGUCGGCCUGCGCGGAAGAUGUAACGGGGCUAAACCAUGCACCGAAGCUGCGGCAGCGACACUAUGUGUUGUUGGGUAGGGGAGCGUUCUGUAAGCCUGCGAAGGUGACCUGUGAGGGUUGCUGGAGGUAUCAGAAGUGCGAAUGCUGACAUAAGUAACGAUAAAGCGGGUGAAAAGCCCGCUCGCCGGAAGACCAAGGGUUCCUGUCCAACGUUAAUCGGGGCAGGGUGAGUCGACCCCUAAGGCGAGGCCGAAAGGCGUAGUCGAUGGGAAACAGGUUAAUAUUCCUGUACUUGGUGUUACUGCGAAGGGGGGACGGAGAAGGCUAUGUUAGCCGGGCGACGGUUGUCCCGGUUUAAGCAUGUAGGCUGNNNNNNNNNNNNNNNNNNNNNNNNNNNNNNNNNNNNNNNNNNNNNNNNNNNNNNNNNNNNNNNNNNNNNNNNNNNNNNNNNNNNNNNNNNNNNNNNNNNNUCCAGGCAAAUCCGGAUAAUCAAGGCUGAGGUGUGAUGACGAGGCACUACGGUGCUGAAGUAACAAAUGCCCUGCUUCCAGGAAAAGCCUCUAAGCAUCAGGUAACAUCAAAUCGUACCCCAAACCGACACAGGUGGUCAGGUAGAGAAUACCAAGGCGCUUGAGAGAACUCGGGUGAAGGAACUAGGCAAAAUGGUGCCGUAACUUCGGGAGAAGGCACGCUGGUGUGUAGGUGAAGCCCCUGCGGGUGGAGCUGAGACCAGUCGAAGAUACCAGCUGGCUGCAACUGUUUAUUAAAAACACAGCACUGUGCAAACACGAAAGUGGACGUAUACGGUGUGACGCCUGCCCGGUGCCGGAAGGUUAAUUGAUGGGGUUAUCCGUAAGGAGAAGCUCUUGAUCGAAGCCCCGGUAAACGGCGGCCGUAACUAUAACGGUCCUAAGGUAGCGAAAUUCCUUGUCGGGUAAGUUCCGACCUGCACGAAUGGCGUAAUGAUGGCCAGGCUGUCUCCACCCGAGACUCAGUGAAAUUGAACUCGCUGUGAAGAUGCAGUGUACCCGCGGCAAGACGGAAAGACCCCGUGAACCUUUACUAUAGCUUGACACUGAACAUUGAGCCUUGAUGUGUAGGAUAGGUGGGAGGCUUUGAAGCGUGGACGCCAGUCUGCGUGGAGCCAACCUUGAAAUACCACCCUUUAAUGUUUGAUGUUCUAACGUUGGCCCCUUACCGGGGUUGCGGACAGUGUCUGGUGGGUAGUUUGACUGGGGCGGUCUCCUCCCAAAGCGUAACGGAGGAGCACGAAGGUUAGCUAAUCCUGGUCGGACAUCAGGAGGUUAGUGCAAUGGCAUAAGCUAGCUUGACUGCGAGCGUGACGGCGCGAGCAGGUGCGAAAGCAGGUCAUAGUGAUCCGGUGGUUCUGAAUGGAAGGGCCAUCGCUCAACGGAUAAAAGGUACUCCGGGGAUAACAGGCUGAUACCGCCCAAGAGUUCAUAUCGACGGCGGUGUUUGGCACCUCGAUGUCGGCUCAUCACAUCCUGGGGCUGAAGUAGGUCCCAAGGGUAUGGCUGUUCGCCAUUUAAAGUGGUACGCGAGCUGGGUUUAGAACGUCGUGAGACAGUUCGGUCCCUAUCUGCCGUGGGCGCUGGAGAAUUGAGGGGGGCUGCUCCUAGUACGAGAGGACCGGAGUGGACGCAUCACUGGUGUUCGGGUUGUCAUGCCAAUGGCACUGCCCGGUAGCUAAAUGCGGAAGAGAUAAGUGCUGAAAGCAUCUAAGCACGAAACUUGCCCCGAGAUGAGUUCUCCCUGAGACUUUAAGUCUCCUGAAGGAACGUUGAAGACGACGACGUUGAUAGGCCGGGUGUGUAAGCGCAGCGAUGCGUUGAGCUAACCGGUACUAAUGAACCGUGAGGCUUAACCUUACAACGCCGAAG